GGCACAGACCAACACAUUGCAGUGCACAAACCAAGGUUAUAAUAAAAUCCACGCGUUUUGAAGCAGUUUACACUCCAAAAAGUCACCAAAUUCACCAGACUGCUGUUAAACAUAAUAAGGACUCCUACCAUUGAAAUACCUUGACAUUUUGAGCAACCAUGCCAAAGUUCAUGUUUAUGGAAAGCAGUGGCUAUGCUACGACUUCGAAUCGGCAGCAGCUGGCCAGUGUCAUUUCAAACUUGGAACACUGCAUCCAGGUGGAAUGAACGUAGAUUUUUCUGCUUUCAUUCAGAACUGAAUCUGCUUGCCCUGACGAAGGUCAUUUGGGAUGAGUAGUGCCAGGGUACUCAAACUGAAUGGUAACAAGCAUUGAUUUAAGCAGGCCUACGUGUACAUGUAUGGUGGUGAUUUCUCUUGCCACAGCGUCUUGAAGCAUGGGAAGAACUGCGAAACUUUCAGACUAGCUGAUGCUGCAAAUAUCAAAUGCUUCAAAGAUGCCAAAAAGUGGGGCAGUGUUGGGUUCCUAUCCGAGAGGCCAGCCACCUCUAUGAUUCCUGGACCGGGUUCCAGAUGAUCUGUGGCACUGUGGGAUCCCUGUUGUCUGAGUGGAGCGGACCCGUGCAGAGAGGAUGAAAUGUCAAAGACUGGUCCAUGAGGGCGCUGCAGAGGCGGAGCUCAGAGGGUGGGAGGAAGGAGAACCCUGUUCGAAGCAAGCCAUCGAUCGUGCAAACUGCAUGAUGCUAUUGGCAUGAUUGGAUGAAAGAUGGCCAACCAGAUGAUUUUAUUACUGGUGGUACUUUGACCUUCAUUUUGUUCGUUAUUUAAGUAAAGUGUAUUGCACUGUAAAUAGGAGCAACUGGAUGCACUACCAAGAGGCUGCCAUUGAGAGGCUGUUUUUUCAAGAUCAAGUUACGGCUGAAAAAAGCAUGGCUGCUUGUGGCUAUUUGCAUUUUAGAAAUUUGUGGAAAAUUGGAACACUCUGUGCAUUACAAAGAAGAAAUGAUUAACUGAAACUACUUCUCGAAAUACACUUAUGAAUCUUCCCUGACAAACAAACAUUAGAAAUAAUGUUCCCUACAGUGCACUGCAAAAAAGGCCUUUCCGUAGCAAUCUUUUGGUGGCGGAAUAAUUCCCAUAUUAUUCCCCUUUUUAUUGAUUUACUGAAAUGAAUUACAUGUACAUGUACUAAAUUGUUUUCUUAGGGAUAGGACACCAGUGAAGCAAAGAGACAUAGCUGCAUGUAUAUCAGUCUUUGUACUUGAUCCAUAGGAAGCUGCACACCUUGGCCAAUAGAGGGCACUGUCCAGCAGCUUAUGUUUGUAGCACAAUAGUGCUAUUUUUGUCAUAUUUGUCCAGUUAAAAAUUGAGUGAAGUGUCUUUAUGAAAAAUCAUAUCCCCCAAAAGUAAAUGAACAGCCCCUGCCCACAAGGAGCAAAAUAGGUUUGCAAGAAAUUAGUCAAGGAAGAAUAAUUCAUGAACAGUCAACAGCAAGGAUUUGUGGUGUCUCAACCUGUCAGUCCGUUGGACUCCUCUCCCCUAAAGGGUCUAUGUAUUUUUGGCAUUAUGAUCUUUUCAAAUAUGCAACACCCCACAGCUACUUGGAGACCUACAUGUACACAAAUUACCAAGGCUAGGUCUUUUGUUUGUAGAAUAUCUUUGCUUGAUGAGUGAUCUUCUAACUGAGAUAAAGCCUGUAAUUUUUGUUCAUUUUCAACCAUUUCCGGUUUCUUUCGACCGAUUUCAUAUUUUAAUGCAACCAUCUUAAUGCUGCUACUGCAGAGAAUUGUGGUCAAUGACACAAGGAAGGAAUGUUGGAGCUUCUUUUAAAAUCAGAGGUCACAUGACAACCACAUGACCAAAUAUAUCUCAGAUUGUAGUUGAUGAUCACCAUUUGAUGUCACUAUGAAGGAAUGUUGUGCUCCAGUGAUAGUAAGAGGUCAAGGUAUUGGCAUCAGCAAGUGGGU